AGCAAUUAGGGGUUAGGUGUCUUGCUCAGGGACACUUCGACUUGAGACAUGGGGCAGCCGGGACUCGCUCCACCCCCUGCGCCACGACGACCCCAGCUCGCUAAAUAAACAAAACGUAUUUCCUUUGCAAUUACUUUUGAGGCUUUUUCCUGUGUUUCCUUUACUUACCUCUCCUCUUCUGUUUUGGUCAUGAACUGCUGUUUGCUUUCCAAAAGGUGGUGCUGUGCUUUUAGUUACAUAACAACAAAUGAUAUUACAUUUGAAUAUACUGUAAUUCCCAAACGUAUUCCUCAACGUGAACAACAAUAGCUAAGAGUCGCUCAAGGUUAUUGGGCAUCAAUCAGCAAACAAUUACUCAUGUAAUAAUUAUUAAAAUUAAUGAAAUGUAAUAGAAGGAUGGUUUAUAAUUAAGCGUGUAACCUUACACUUCUACCCUUAAACUCUAAUUCACCCAGGAAGGGUACUGAUUAUUCAUGCCAUCAACACAUCACGCACCAGUCAGCUUCUCUGGAAAUGUGGCACCUCUGGUCAGGGUGUUGGAUUACAACAUGACGGCAUCAACACAACAUGACGGCAUCAACACAGCAAAUGAAUAAGACUGUCACACUGAGGCUGUAACGAAGGAAAUAAACCCUCCUGAUGUGACAUGGAAGCAUCAUUCAAAAUACAACCUUUGGAUGCCGGGAAAUAAUCCUCAGGCAGUUUGGACUAAAAUACGAUGUAAUAAUUCCGUAACCAGUGAUGGAAAAAUGAAGUUCUAUAUUACACUUUAUGCUGUAGUAGAAAUAUUGUGCCUUUUUCUCCAUUUAUUUGACAGCUAAAGGUACUUUUGGGGAUUUGGUUACUAAAACAACUUGUAAUAAUAAACAUUCUUAACUAUCAAACCA